rnacentral:tRNA from 1 species
GCCUGGGUGGCUCUGUGGUUGAGCAUCGGACUUCAGCUCAGGGUGUGAUCCUGGGGUCCUGGGAUUGAGUCCCACCUCGGGCU